rnacentral:misc_RNA from 1 species
GAUGAAGAACGUAGCGAAAUGCGAUACUUGGUGUGAAUUGCAGAAUCCCGUGAACCAUCGAGUCUUUGAACGCAAGUUGCGCCCGAAGCCAUUAGGCCGAGGGCACGCCUGCCUGGGCGUCACACGUCGUUGCCCCCCCAUCUACUCCUUCGGGAUUGCGGGGGGCGGAUGAUGGCCUCCCGUGCGCCUCGUCGCGCGGUUGGCAUAAAUGCCAAGUCCUCGGCGACGCACGCCACGACAAUCGGUGGUUGCGAAACCUCGGUUGCCCGUCGUGUGCGGUCGUCGCGCAUCGAGGGCUCGAAAAAAUUGCCGGGCUCCGGCUCGGCUUUCAACGCGACCCCAGGUCAGGCGGGGUUACCCGCUGAAUUUAAGCAUAUCAAUAGCGGAGGA